GGCAGUGGGUUCACUGGGUUGUUUAUUGUUUUCAUACUAGGAAUAAGCGAGUGGCGUCGUGACGUCACAGCGACUAGAAGAAUACGGAAGUUGGACUGCAGAGCCGCCGCCGCCAUUUUGAUUGCCAUCAGUCCUCCACACCUGUCUCACCACAGCAGGACCAUCCGAGUCUGAGGGAAGGGGACGAGACGAUUUCAGACGCCAGGACAGUCUUCAAUGAACAAAAUGAAGGGAUGGCUCAGACUCCCAGUGAUGAUGGCUCUUGACCGUGUUCCUCUGUUUCCCUGAUGGCUUCACCCAGCAGAGAGAUGAGAGAGAUUAGACCAAGGAGAUAUCCGU